rnacentral:rRNA from 1 species
GACGAACGCUGGCGGCGUGCCUAAUACAUGCAAGUCGAACGCUUUUUCUUUCACCGGAGCUUGCUCCACCGAAAGAAAAAGAGUGGCGAACGGGUGAGUAACACGUGGGUAACCUGCCCACCAGAAGGGGAUAACACUUGGAAACAGGUGCUAAUACCGUAUAACACUAUUUUCCGCAUGGAAGAAAGUUGAAAGGCGCUUUUGCGUCACUGAUGGAUGGACCCGCGGUGCAUUAGCUAGUUGGUGAGGUAACGGCUCACCAAGGCAACGAUGCAUAGCCGACCUGAGAGGGUGAUCGGCCACACUGGGACUGAGACACGGCCCAGACUCCUACGGGAGGCAGCAGUAGGGAAUCUUCGGCAAUGGACGAAAGUCUGACCGAGCAACGCCGCGUGAGUGAAGAAGGUUUUCGGAUCGUAAAACUCUGUUGUUAGAGAAGAACAAGGAUGAGAGUAGAACGUUCAUCCCUGACGUAUCUACCAGA